AACGUAGGUCACAAGCGUUGUCCGGAAUUACUGGGUGUAAAGGGAGCGCAGGCGGGAAGACAAGUUGGAAGUGAAAUCUAUGGGCUCAACCCAUAAACUGCUUUCAAAACUGUUUUUCUUGAGUAGUGCAGAGGUAGGCGGAAUUCCCGGUGUAGCGGUGGAAUGCGUAGAUAUCGGGAGGAACACCAGUGGCGAAGGCGGCCUACUGGGCACCAACUGACGCUGAGGCUCGAAAGUGUGGGUAGCAAAC
rnacentral:rRNA from 1 species